AUGGUGUAUACAUUGCUAUGGGGGAUAUGGCUGUAUCGGAUAUAUUUUUGUUUUUUGCUCCAGAAGUAGAGCAGGAAGCUGAUAAUACCAGCUGUUUAUGGUACCUCAUCGGUUAUAGUAUUGAGAUUUGUGGCUCACAAAUGCGCUGAUGUCCCAUCCAGUUUAAACUCUUGGCUCUAGUGCUGAAACAAGUGGGAAGAUUUAUCAUGUUCUAUCAGAAAAUUAGAACCACUAAAAUGUCCCGUUCGUCAGACAGUGUUGGACCAGAAAUAUCUCUAUCCACUAGAAUGUGCCGGCCUGUUCUGCCCCACCUUAAGUUUGUGUCACUUUUCUAAUGACAACACUUAGAUCAAUCUCCCUCACAGUCUACGUUCGCUCAUGCCCAUUCUAGAGUUUUUGUCCCAAGAACAAAAAAACAUACAUAGAUAUUCACUAAACCAGGACUUAGCACGCACAUUUCACAUUUCAGAAAUUCCCAAGUCUCACCGUUUAAUAAAUAACUCCUUAAUCCAUUCUCUCAAUUUGAAAGAUUUGUCUGUAGAAGUUAAAUAGUUGGUUUCCAUUCUUUCCCUUUACCUCUCCAUUCCUGAAUUCCACCCACCAUCAUCAAGUUCAUUCUUUACUCAAUUAUCAUUUAAACAAGAACACGAGAUCGACUUGUGUAUUUAUUACUUUGUCUUUUGUAGCAUAGUUAAUUCACAAAAUCGAUAAAUAAUAUAUUUGCAUAUAUUUAAAAUAUGCACAUUUGUAAGAUUGCUGUUGUGAUUUUACACAUAAAGCUAUGGUUUGUGUUUACAAAGUGGAUUUCUUUCCUUAUUGAGUUUGAUAUAAAUAUUACAUGGUCGUUUCGACAGUGCUUACAUGGGAAUUUUCUGUGAAAUAGACUGUGUUUCUGCACGAAUCUUUGUUUGAGUAUAAUUUCUGGUGUUGUGUAUUCUCCCAAUUGUUACUUUCUGUUCAUUUAAUAAAAGCCAAUUAACCUAAA